UACAUGGGGUGCAAACGUUGCUCGGAAUUACUGGGCGUAAAGCGUGCGCAGGCGGUUUUGUAAGCCAGAUGUGAAAGCCCCGGGCUCAACCUGGGAACUGCAUUUGGGACUGCAAGGCUGGAGUACGGCAGAGGGAGGUGGAAUUCCACGUGUAGCAGUGAAAUGCGUAGAGAUGUGGAGGAACACCGAUGGCGAAGGCAGCCUCCUGGGCUAGUACUGACGCUCAUGCACGAAAGCGUGGGGAGCAAACAGG
rnacentral:rRNA from 1 species